AAGUCGUAACAAGGUUUCCGUAGGUGAACCUGCGGAAGGAUCAUUACUGAGUAUUUGUCUUUUUAAGACAUCUCUCUAUCCAUAAACUCUUUUUUUUAAAAAGACAUGAUUUAUAACAAUUAGUCUGAAUGAUUAUUUUUAAAUCUUCAAAACUUUCAACAACGGAUCUCUUGGUUCUC
rnacentral:misc_RNA from 1 species